rnacentral:lncRNA from 1 species
CAGGACUUUUGAGAACUCAUUGGGUAUAUAGAGGAACAGACUAAAGAAUAACAUUCAGUUUGGGCCAAUGGCAUGUAAGCAGAAGUGGUUGUGUACCAUCCCAGGAAGAGAUCUUUAGAGAGAGCCAGGCCUUACUCCAUCAUGCUACCUGGAGCGAAAACAGGCUAUCGAGAGUCCAGUCUUCCAUCGUAGACAGUGCUGUUGGGAGCCCCAUCCUUUUGGUGAGAGGAGUCAAACUGGAAGGAGGCAAUCACCUCCGUUGGCUUCAUUGCCCACAUCAUGGCAGCACCCGGGGUGCUUGAAGUUGAGGAAGGUCUGGAUUGCUGACAGUAAAAGCAACAGAGCGGUCUCUGGAAACAGUGGCGACAUGGUUCUCCUGCUUACCUUGAGCUUCUUGGGUGGUAAGGAGGUGAUGCUUUCAGAGAGAAUCCUUCAUGUUUUCUGUCACGGUUGGUGUCUAAUUCUUGUGGAUCAUGGAUGUUCAUG